ACGCUCGACACCUACGGGAGCAGCAGUGGGGGAUAUUGCACAAUGGGGGGAACCCUGAUGCAGCGACGCCGCGUGAGGGAAGAAGGUUUUCGGAUUGUAAACCUCUGUCCUCAGGGAAGAAGAUGACGGUACCUGAGGAGGAAGCCACGGCUAACUACGUGCCACAGCCGCGGUAAUCUGAGCGGGCUGGCAAGGC
rnacentral:rRNA from 1 species